UAUCAGCAAGAUAUGCAAAUGGCCAAUAAGCACACGAAGGGAUGCUUUCCAUUAGUCAUUAAAAAAUGCAAGUCAAAACCACAAUAAGAUACAAGUUUAGGCUCACUGGGAUGGCAUUAGUGAAAGAGAUAGUGACAAAUGUUGAUGAGGAUGUGGAGAAAUUGGAACCUUCAUGCUGCUGAUGGGAAUGUAAAAUGGUACAGACACUUUAGAAAACACCCUAGCGGUUCCUCAAAACGUUAGAUUAGAUCUAUUAUAUGACCCAGAAAUUCCACCCCUAGGUAUGUAUCCAAAAGAAAUGAAACAUUCAGGAUCUAUAUCCUAGGGCAAAAAAAUACAAAUAAGAAAUGGAGGCUGGGCGCGGUGACUCACACCUGUAAUCCCAGCACUUUGGGAGGCUGAGGCAGGAGGAUCAUGAGGUCAUCCUGGCUAACACGGUGAAACCCUGUCUCUACUAAAAAUACAAAAAAUUAGCUGGGCGUGGUGGCGGGUGCCUGUAGUCCUAGCUACUUGGGAGGCUGAGGCAGGAGAAUGGUGUGAACCCGGGAGGCAGGGCUUACAGUGAGCUGAGACCACGCCACUGCACUCCAGCCUGGGCGACAGAGCGAGACUCCGUCUCAAAAAAAAAAGAAAAAAAGAAAUGGAACAUAUGUCCACACAAAAACUUGUACAUGAAUAUUUGUUGAAGAAUUAUUAAUAAUAACCACAAUGUCAUUAAGUAGAAACAACCCAAAUAACAACACCCCAUAAUAAUAAAAAAAGGGAAACAAUUGGUAAGUAGAUGAGCUGUGGUAUGCUUGCACAAUUGAAUAUUUGACCAUCAAAAGGAAUGAAGGACUGAUAUAUGCUACAAUAGAGCUAAACCUUGAAAACAUUAUGGUAAUUGAAGGAAGACAGAUGCAAAGGACCACUCUGCAUGGUACCAUUUAUACAAAGUGUCCAGAACAGGGAAAUUUAUAGAGACAAAAAGUAGACUAAUGGUUGCCGAGCCUUGGGGAAAGAAGCAAUCAGAGGAAUUAGGAGUGACUGUUAAAGGUAUGGGGUUUCUUUUGGGGAUGAUGAUCAUGUUCUAAAAUUGAUUAUAGUAAAGGUUAUACAACUCUAAAUUCCGUUAACAUUUGAUGGCAAAUUGUAUAGUUUGUAAAUUGUAUCUCAAUAAAGUGGUUAGCCAAAAAAAGAAAAAAGGCAGUAUAAGACAAAUCGGCUAGCUAAUGUAAGAAAAAUAAGUAAAAUCAGAGCACAGACUCAGAACAUACACCAAAAUAAAUUCUAACUUGAUUAAAGAGCUAAGUGUAUAAGUAAGUAAAUGCAAGUAGAACUAUCAUGACAGUAAAGACCUUUUUAAGCAUAAAAUAAAUUAUAAAGACAAAUUAAUAGGUAUUAUUAUAAAUAAGUAAAAAUUUUAAGAACUGAAUGUCAAAAUUUUAAAAUUUUUUUCCUGUAAUUGAACCCACCUUAGCACACAAGUCUGUGAGGAUGCAGCAGCGUCACACAGCUUGUCAACACAACAGCUCUGACUCCAACUGUGAUGACAGAAGGAGGUAGGGGCCCCACCCCAGAGCAGCACACAUUCUCUCCUGACUCACUCAGGACAAUGAUUAUAACUGCCUGAAAAUGAAAUCCUUUCUAGUUUCUACCAACUCUCAUAAUUGACAGUUUUCAAUUAUGAUUUAUUUAGUGUCAUCUUCAAUGGUAUAUAUUAUACUGAAAUACAAGUUAAUGUGCACUAUUUAUAAUUAUAAAUUGUUUGGAUGUUAAACAAUAAAGGGACACCACUCUAUGUGGUAAAAGGGGAAAAGGAUAUCAUUGAGAAAACGCAGACACUUCUCCCUCUAUAUACUAAGUUAAUCAAGCCUAAUAAUAUUCCAUUUAGGCUUACAGAUUAAAUCUUCUUAAUGCUUUUAAUGAACUGCUUUAUUUCUCUGUUUAGAAAAUGUUUUGAUUAGGAUAUUGUCACAGUGGUUAGCAGAUAGUAAAAUAAACUUUAAUCUUGUUG
rnacentral:lncRNA from 1 species